CCUACGGGAGGCAGCAGUGGGGAAUAUUGCACAAUGGGGGCAACCCUGAAGCAGCGACGCCGCGUGAGGGAUGAAGUUCUUCGGUAUUUUAAGCCCUAUUAGCAGGGAAGCAAAUGACGGUACCUGAGUCAGAAGCCCCGGCUAACUACGUGCCAGCAGCCGCGGUAAUACGGAGGGGGCAAGCGUUAUCCGGAUUUACUGGGGGUAAAGGGAGCGUAGACGGGAUUGCAAGUCUGGUGUGAAAGGCGGGGGCUCAACCACCGGACUGCGGUGGAAACUGGUCGUCUAGAGUGCAGGAGAGGUAAGUGGAAUUCGUGGUGGAGCGGUGAAAUGCGUAGAGAUCACGAGGAACACCGAGGGCGAAGGCGGCUUACGGGAGCGUAACUGACGUUGAGGCUCGAAAGCGUGGGGAGCAAACAGGAUUAGAUACCCGGGUAGUC
rnacentral:rRNA from 1 species